CCUUAGGGAAGAAAGUGGGAAUUUACUUGAUGGAUUUUUUUUUUCUUUUGAAAAGAUAGAAAGGUAAUUUGACCUAUUUAUCAUCAAAAUUUCUUCAAAAAUUCAUUGGCUCUGAAAGGGCAGACCUGAGAAGAAAGCCAUAGCAUCAUAAUUUCCAAAUUGUCAGCAAGCUACUGGAAUGAAGCAGGUGGAAGACAGACAAGAAGAGCUGUUAGUGCAAUAUGGAACUAAGCAUUGAGGAGUCUAAACAUAACUGACGGGGAUCCAGGAACCACUGAUAUUUGGAAGUCUGAGCAAAUACCUGUUAUGGAGGUGAUGUGGCACUGAAUGAGGGAACAUCUACAACAGUCUCUUGUCCCUCCUAAAGUGUUAUGGUGUUUUGGAAAAUAUAUCACAGAAUGUUUACUGGAGUAGCA